CUCUGCUUCCAGCUUGUCAUGCCACGGGCUCUUUCUCCUCUGCCCUGCUCUUCUGCCAUGCUGCCCUGCCUUAGAGCCAUUUGAUUAUGGACUGAAACCUCCAUAAACUGCUGCUGCCAUAAAAUGGGUUGUAUUGAACGUCGACUCUGUGCAAGAAGGGACUCAGGCAGGAGGAGAAGGAUGUGGUGGAGCCACGAGAGCAUCACACUGAGAUAAUCCGGGCUGUUGUUUUCCCCCCGUGAAUGAGUACGUCUAGUAUCUCAUUUUCUAUUUGUGUGUCAGUGAGGGAGAGCGAUAGAUUAUGGAACAAGCAGCGAAGUCCCUGCCUAACACACAAGACAUCAGGCCGCCGUGGGUAUCCUCUCCAGAAAUCCAGUGGCAAAUGAGAUGAACAGAUUCCUACCUCAUUGGCACAAAGUCUAUCUUCAAAAACAUAAAGCAAACCAGUACUUAUACAAUUAAUAGUUUAACCACAAGAAGGAUGCAUAUUACAAAGAAUAAAUUUGGUGAUGUGAAUGUGGGUAAUAGAAAACCCAUCAAAUUAGGACAUCAUGAUAGAUACUGUCUUACACCUGAUUUCUCCACAGAGCAUUGCUGAUGGCUGCCUCAUAUCUUCAUCAUGUAGAGAAACACCUUUGCUCUGUUCCCCCAUUUGGGUUUUUUAAAAAUAAAAAAUGCAGAAUAUAGUGUUCUUAAACAAAAAUUAUUAACUGAUGUCUUAUGGUGUUCGUAGAAUACAUCCACAAACAUUGGAAUAUUGAGAUAAAAGUCACAAUAGCUUUGAGGUUAACGAUCCAAACAUCAGCUUUUUCCUGAAAGUAUGAAUCAAUCUACAUUCUUACCUGCAGAGUUGAAAUAUAUUUCACAGAAAGAUAGCUAGUAGUAUUGUCUUUUUCAAAGACAAUAAUUUUUUUAAAAUUGGCAAUUUGUAUGGCCAAAAUUUUUACUAUUUUAGUUUGCAUUUAUUUGAUUAGUAGUAGUGCUUAAAAUUAUUUACUGGUUCCUUGUAUCAUUUUUCUAUUUUGUACAUUGUAUCUGUGUCCUUUGCUCAUUUUUUUCUAUUAGAGUGUUGGUAUUUUUCUUACUGUAUUCUAAGAGAGAUUUUGUACAUUAUGGUGUUUUGUUUUAUUUUGUUUUACUCAUUUAUCUAUCUGAUUUCUUCUUGCAAGUUUUUUUUCUCUUUUAUAUGUACUCUUAGAAAGACCUUUCCCAGAAAGAAGGGAAAUGAAAAAUUAUGAGAAAUGGAAAAAAUGGAAAGAAAGUCUUUGCAAAUAGGGAAGGGUGGAGGGGUGAACGGAGUGCAAGGAAUGGAGAAAAAAUAAGAACCAAGAUACAUCAUGUAAAAGUACAAAUUCCCAAUGAGAAAUGUAAACAUUAUAUAACUAAAAUGUAC
rnacentral:lncRNA from 1 species